rnacentral:tRNA from 1 species
GCCCUGGUAGCUCAGCUGGUAGAGCGCCGCCUUGGUAAGGCGGAGGUUCGCGGGUUCAAUCCCCGCCCAGGGCU